UGGACAGGUAUGCAACGUAUCUUAAAUGCU
rnacentral:piRNA from 1 species